rnacentral:rRNA from 1 species
UACGUAGGGUGCGAGCGUUGUCCGGAAUUAUUGGGCGUAAAGGGCUCGUAGGCGGUCUGUUGCGUCAGGAGUGAAAACUCGGGGCUUAACCCCGAGCCUGCUUCUGAUACGGGCAGACUAGAGGUAUGCAGGGGAGAACGGAAUUCCUGGUGUAGCGGUGAAAUGCGCAGAUAUCGGGAAGAACACCCGUGGCGAAGGCGGUUCUCUGGGACGGUACUGACGCUGAGACGCGAAAGCGUGGGGAGCGAACAGG